rnacentral:rRNA from 1 species
GCCUACGUACAUACCAGUCUGAAAGUGCCUGAUCUCGUCAGAUCUCAGAAGUCAUGCAGACUUGGGCCUGCUUAGUACUUGUAUGUGAGACUAACUAGGAACCUCAGGAGCCGUAAGCU